rnacentral:rRNA from 1 species
AAUCAACGCUGGCGGCGUGCCUCAGACAUGCAAGUCGAACGAUUAAAGCUCUCUUCGGAGAGUGUAUAGAGUGGCGCACGGGUGAGUAACACGUAAAUAAUCUACCCUCGAGUGGGGAAUAACAACCGGAAACGGUUGCUAAUACCGCAUAAUGCAGCGGCACCGCAAGGUGACAGUUGUUAAAGAUUUAUCGCUUGAGGAGGAGCUUGCGGCAGAUUAGCUAGUUGGUAGGGUAACGGCUUACCAAGGCUACGAUCUGUAACCGGUCUAAGAGGACGGUCGGUCACACUGACACUGAAUAACGGGUCAGACUCCUACGGGAGGCAGCAGUCGGGAAUUUUGGGCAAUGGGCGAAAGCCUGACCCAGCAACGCCGCGUGAAGGAUGAAGUAUUUCGGUAUGUAAACUUCGAAAGAAUAGGAAGAAUUAAUGACGGUACUAUUAUAAGGUCCGGCUAACUACGUGCCAGCAGCCGCGGUAAU